UGGGGAAUAUUGCGCAAUGGGAGGAACCCUGACGCAGCCAUGCCGCGUGAAUGAAGAAGGCCUUAGGGUUGUAAAGUUCUUUCGGUAUUGAGGAAGGUUGAUGUGUUAAUAGCACAUCAAAUUGACGUUAAAUACAGAAGAAGCACCGGCUAACUCCGUGCCAGCAGCCGCGGUAAUACGGAGGGUGCGAGCGUUAAUCGGAAUAACUGGGCGUAAAGGGCACGCAGGCGGUUAUUUAAGUGAGGUGUGAAAGCCCCGGGCUUAACCUGGGAAUUGCACUUCAGACUGGGUAACUAGAGUACUUUAGGGAGGGGUAGAAUUCCACGUGUAGCGGUGAAAUGCGUAGAGAUGUGGAGGAAUACCGAAGGCGAAGGCAGCCCCUUGGGAAUGUACUGACGCUCAUGUGCGAAAGCGUGGGGAGCAAACAGGAUUAGAUACCCUGGUAGUCCACGCUGUAAACGCUGUCGAUUUGGGGGUUGGGGUUUAACUCUGGCGCCCGUAGCUAACGUGAUAAAUCGACCGCCUGGGGAGUACGGCCGCAAGGUUA
rnacentral:rRNA from 1 species